AAGACUCUGCUUUCAGGGGUCAUUUCUGUGGUUUGUUACUAGAGAAGUUUCUCUGAACGUAGAGUAUCUGAAAUCAUGAGGAGGGGGCCCAGUGUUCCUGCUCCAUGUGAAGCUGGCUCUAGGUGUUGCUUCCACAACUGUUUAUUGCCAUUGAUGAUCGUUCUCUUCCUCUUUCCGGAGAAUAAAAGGAUACAGUCUGAGUGGA
ensembl:snoRNA U3 Small nucleolar RNA U3